CUUCUUUCGCCGGUGUAUAGAGGAACGUGGGCGUGAAGGUGCUUUUGAACCGCGGCUACUGACAUAACAGUGGGUAAGGGGCCAGCCAUGAUAGAGUGUUAUCAGCAUCGUCGAAGGCGGUGGAAACAUAAUACACUGAUCGAAGUGGAUAUGGUUACAGUUCGAAGGGGGCGAAGACCUAGACGGCUUUCACAAACAGAAGGACGUUAACCCGAUAACCGGCUGAUUUUUCGACCACGAAUAUUCAUGCGGAUACAAAUGUAGGGGAGCGAUAUGAAUCUGGAACGAUAUAUCCCACGAUGAAUGUAAUUACGAUUUAAUUUACAUUCCUACUGACAUUAUGAUGGAAUUCAACGCA